GCAGAUGGAAAGAAGCACGACCCAUCUUGUGAAAACUGGAGGAAGAGAUAGGCAGAGCGGCAUUUUGUGGCUUAGGAUUCAACUACAUAUGUCGAUAUAUAAUUUAUGGAACUAUUACGAUUCCCUUAAUUGAAGAAUAAUUUGUACUAGAUAUUAGAAUUCCAGGGUAUAAUGAAAUGCCCACUGCAUGAGAAUCUUUUAUUUUUCAUAAUUAAUUUUGUUAAUUCAAUAUUUUCUUCUUAACAUUCUAUUUGGUUUUGGAGACUGCUUUUACAAAAUUAUGAGUUUUUUGUGUGUAUAAUAGUAAAAGAAGAGAGCCUUUGGAGGGUGCUCAUAUAUAGGCUGCGAUAAGAUUUAUGAAUAAGGUUGGGUAUUUCUUGCUGGUGAUUGUAUGAUUGAAGUCGGUUUCCUUUCUUCACCUUUAUGCUGGGUAGUUGAUUUUGGGGUACAAAAUAUUGUUUUUUUUAAGUGAUCGGAUCACAUUUAAAGAAUAAUGUUUUUUUCUUCAGUAUCUAUUAAUGUGAGUUUUGCUUGGAUAUCUACACAACACCAGGCCUAGAUCCAUCAUUAAUGAGUGAAUUGGACAUCAUGGCACUUAUUAUGGUGCUCAAAAACCGAUUGAGAAUGACGCAACCAGAGACAAUUUGGGUACAAACUCAACUGCAAACGAAAAAAAUUGUUCAGGUAUAUGUCUUCCAUUUGUGUUUUUAAGUGAUUGCAUUUAGAGUUCUAACAUUUGGUUAUUGGAACUUAUUUAAAGUGCUAUGUGCUUUAUCUUCUUCUUCAUUUUAUAGCUUUAUGAGUUCUUUAUGCCUUCUUUUUACGUUCUUAUUUCAGAUUACUUUGUAUAUUUGGUUGUAUUCUUAAAAGGAAUUUUCUUGCUUCACUCUUUGUACAUAUAUACCAUGGAACUAAAACGAAGUAUGCCUAUAUGCAGUUUGGUUUCAGUGCAUUUUAUCCAUCAAAAUAAGAAAAGAGAAUAAGUAGUAUGGAGUUUCUUUUUUCUUACGGACAAAAUUUCAGUUGUGUAUAUUGUGCUAAUGCACGAGAAGUUGCUUCUUUUUUUGGAUGUUACUGGCGGGUGGAAAUCAGACUAUUUGUUCGAAGUGUCUACCAAUUAGAUUUGAUUGCACAAAGAUAAUGUUGUUG
rnacentral:sRNA from 1 species